AGAACGAACGCUGGCGGCAGGCUUAACACAUGCAAGUCGAACGCGUGUAGCAAUACACGAGUGGCGCACGGGUGAGUAACGCGUGGAUAUCUGCCUUUUGGUUCGGAAUAACCCCGGGAAACUGGGGCUAAUACCGGAUGGUUCCUACGGGAUAAAGAUUUAUCGCCAAAAGAUGAGUCCGCGUCCGAUUAGCUAGUUGGUGGGGUAAUGGCCUACCAAGGCGACGAUCGGUAGCUGGUCUGAGAGGACGAUCAGCCACACUGGGACUGAGACACGGCCCAGACUCCUACGGGAGGCAGCAGUGGGGAAUAUUGGACAAUGGGGGCAACCCUGAUCCAGCCAUGCCGCGUGAGUGAUGAAGGCCUUCGGGUUGUAAAGCUCUUUUGGCGGGGACGAUGAUGACGGUCCCGCAGAAUAAGCCCGGCUAACUUCGCGCCAGCAGCCGC
rnacentral:rRNA from 1 species